AGAGUUUGAUCAUGGCUCAGAAUCAACGCUGGCGGCGCGCUUAACACAUGCAAGUCGAACGGGAAAGUGGAGCAAUCCAUGAGUACAGUGGCGUACGGGUGAGUAACACGUGGGUAAUCUGCCUCUUAGUGGGGAAUAACCCUGGGAAACCGGGGCUAAUACCGCAUAAGCCUGAGAAGGGAAAGUCGCAAGACGCUGAGAGAGGAGCCCGCGGCCGAUUAGCUAGUUGGCAGGGUAAGAGCCUACCAAGGCAAAGAUCGGUAGCCGGCCUGAGAGGGCACGCGGCCACACUGGCACUGAAACACGGGCCAGACUCCUACGGGAGGCAGCAGUGGGGAAUCUUGCACAAUGGGGGAAACCCUGAUGCAGCGACGCCGCGUGAGCGAUGAAGCCCUUCGGGGCGUAAAGCUCUUUCGGCAGGGAAGAUGAUGACGGUACCUGCAGAAGCAGCUGCGGCUAACUACGUGCCAGCAGCCGCGGUAAUACGUAGGCAGCGAGCGUUGUUCGGAGUUACUGGGCGUAAAGGGUGUGUAGGCGGUUGUUUAAGUUUGGUGUGAAAUCUCCCGGCUCAACUGGGAGGGUGCGCCGAAUACUGAAUGACUAGAGUGCGGGAGAGGAGAGUGGAAUUCCUGGUGUAGCGGUGAAAUGCGUAGAUAUCAGGAGGAACACCGGCGGUGUAGACGGCUCUCUGGACCGCGACUGACGCUGAGACACGAAAGCGUGGGUAGCAAACAGGAUUAGAUAAUCGUCGACCUGCAGGCAUGCAAGCUUGGCGUAAUCAUGGUCAUAGCUGUUUCCUGUGUGAAAUUGUUAUCCCGCUCACAAUUCCACACAACAUACGAGCCGGAAGCAUAAAAGUGUAAAGCCUGGGGGU
rnacentral:rRNA from 1 species